rnacentral:rRNA from 1 species
UACGGAGGAUGCAAGCGGUAUCCGGAAUGAUUGGGCGUAAAGCGUCCGCAGGUGGCAAUGUAAGUCUGCUGUUAAAGAGUCUAGCUCAACUAGAUAAGAGCAGUGGAAACUACAUAGCUAGAGUACGUUCGGGGCAGAGGGAAUUCCUGGUGUAGCGGUGAAAUGCGUAGAGAUCAGGAAGAACACCGGUGGCGAAGGCGCUCUGCUAGGCCGUAACUGACACUGAGGGACGAAAGCUAGGGGAGCGAAUGGG